AACUGAUACUACCUGCGGGAACCUGCGGAGGGAUCAUUAUCGAAUUGUUGAAACUUGGUUGUCGCUGGCUCUCUCCUUCUUGGAGAUUGCAUGUGCACGCCUAGUUCAAACUUUUCAUUAUUAACCUCCUGUGCACUUUUGUGGAUCGUGGAUGGAUAAACUUUGUCAAAGUAAAAUUUGGUUUUGAGGAUUGCGGUUUGCUUUCCUCUACUAUGUGUCCAUGGUUCAUGUUUUUACUAC
rnacentral:misc_RNA from 1 species